CUUGGGAGACAAGACAAUAAAGGAACCCAAGGAGAAAAUGGAGGAACUCCAGAAGCAUAUGGAGGAAGCCAUGGAGAAAAUGGAUGAUCUCCAGAAGCAAAUGGG